AUGCUCAAAUCUGAACGUAUUGUAAAGAGCCAACGACGAGGAAGAUUGUUCGAUACAAUAUUUUUAAGGAUUUCAUCAACAUUUUUUCCCAUGGGAGUUUAUUUUGAGGACUCUGAACUAGGAAACGAAAUCAAGAUUGAAUAUCAAAACCACAAAGAGGUGGCUUUUGGUAAUUAUUUGUCAUGCUGGGAUGCGAUAGAACAGCCGGUGAAUAUAUCCUACCCGACGGAACCAAAUGCCUAUUAUGCCUUAAUUAUGACAGACCCAGAUUGUUCUUCGAGAGAAAGUCCAACUCACCGAGAAUUGCAGCAUUGGAUUCUUGUUAAUAUUCCCGGGGCGAACUGGACUCAAGGAUUUGCCUGACGGAAUACAUUGGGAUUCUACGUGACUACGAAUAUGGUGUUCAUCGUUAUGUCUUCCUUUUAUACAAACAACCUGGGAAAUUGAAAUUCACAGAAAGAGUGUUGGACAUUCGGUAAGCACAAUUUGUAAUUUUUUUCAAUUUAAUAGGUAGUUCAAUUUAUUUAAGUUUCAAGAUUAUGGCGUGUUUGAGUUAGCCAUUGAAUUGACCUGAAUAUUUGUAUCGAUGAAUUAGAAUGAGAGCCGUAUUUACACCCCGAUUAAAGUCAAAUGUCAAAACCUUUAAAAUCCGAAUUGUAAAUAUUUAGUGAUUGAAGUCUUAUGAAAUCAUGUGUGCGCAAUCAUUAUUCAUAAAAAUUUCUUUUGGAAUUAUAUGAAAGGUA
rnacentral:lncRNA from 1 species